GAUCUGGGGAGUGGCCAGCAGUGUACUUGGUCUCCACUGAGGGGUGAGCUCGGAAGAGGUGAUGGGGCAGGGUCUGCUUACCUGAGGUAGGAGAUGACGCCCAUGGCCCUGCAAGAAUGAAAACACCCCAUUUGUGAGUUACACCAGGCCUGUCCCACAGGCAAGGGGUAUGCACGGGGGGUGGGGUUGGGGGGUGGGGGUGGCUGGAAGAGGAGGCAGAGGCUCCUCAGCUGCCAGACAGACACACGAAGGACAGGGAGGCUCCAGAUCAACAGCCCUCUAGGUGGGCCAUCCACUCACCAGAUGUCUGAGCCCUCGCUCACAGGAUUCUGCUCAAUGAUCUCUGGGGACACGAAUUCGGGUGAGCCAUACUUGCUGUACUGUGGCUCUGAAGGGGUGAUCUUUUGGGCAAAGCCAAAGUCACAGAUCUUGAUGUCUUCCCGAGCUGGGUGCACCAUCAGGAUGUUGGGGGGCUGUCAAACAGAGUUGAGAAGUUGUUCAAGGCUACACUUCAUGAAAAAGGUAACUCCUACCCUCUGGGCCUAGGAGAGCACUGAAGAGUCCUUGAGGCUAGUAAAGGGCAGUGGGGAGUCCCCAGGACCGAGAGGGGAAUCACAUCUACUCCAUGAGAGCCAAACCCUACCCGAGGUAGUAGAAACCAAGCACAGGCUGGCUCCCAGCUGUGCCCACCACGAGUUCUGGGGGUGCCGUGAAUGCAAUACCUUUAUGUCCAGGUGGAGGAUACCAUGGCUGUGCAAAUAGUGUAGGCCUUCCACCAGCUGCUGGAUAUAGACUUUGACCUGUGGAAAAUGCCAGGAUCAGUUUGGAACCAGCCCCCAAGAGGCUGGCUCAGGAACCUCCUGAAGGCUGACCCAGGUGAGGAGCCAGCCUCAGGUACCUCCUGAAGACCUGGUCCAAAUGAGGGGCCAGCCUCAGAAAACUCAUGAAGGCCUGACCCAGGUGAGGGGCAAGCAUCAGGUACCUCCUGAAGGCCUGACCCGGGUUGGGGGCCAGCCUCAGGUACCUCCUGAAGGCCUGACCCAGGUGAGGGGCAAGCAUCAGGUACCUCCUGAAGGCCUGACCCGGGUUGGGGGCCAGCCUCAGGUACCUCCUGAAGGCCUGACCCAGGUGAGGGGCCAGCCUCAGGUACCUCCUGAAGGCCUGGCCCAGGUGAGGAGCCAGCCUCAGGUACCUUCUGAAGGCCUGACCCGGGUAAGGGGCCAGCCUCAGGUACCUCCUGAAGGCCUAGUCCAAAUGAGGGUCCAGCCUCAGGAACCUCCUGAAGGCCUGACCCAGGUGAGGGGCCAGCCUCAGGUACCUCCUGAAGGCCUGACCCAGGUAAGGGGCCAGCCUCAGAUACCUCCUGAAGGCCUAGUCCAAAUGAGGGUCCAGCCUCAGGAACCUCCUGAAGGCCUGACCCAGGUGAGGGGCCAGCCUCAGGAACCUCCUGAAGGCCUGGCCCAGAUGAGGGACCAGCAUCAGGUACCUCCUGAAGGCCUGGCCCUGGUGAGGAGCCAGCCUCAGGUACCUCCUGAAAGCCUGACCCGGGUGAGGGACUAGCCUCAGGUACCUCCUGAAGACCUGGCCCAGGUGAGGGGCCAGCCUCAGCCUCCUCUAUUCCAUAGGAGCUUGCUUCGAUCAUCAAGCCUUCCUCCUCUUAAUUCAGGCCCCAUAGAUCAAGUGACUGACAAAGUCACAGGUCAGGAACUGCAAGCCCCAGGGCUGGGUGUUUCCCAAAGGUGGGCUGAGCCUAAAUAGGCAGGAAGCAUCAGUCUGCUUAAAUGAGGGAGGGGCAGAUAUCACUAGUACAGCUGUUCCCCUAUGGUCAGGACGGGUGGCAGAGGCUGGUUAUACCUGGCUACCUUGGAAGCUACAAGAGACUCAAGUCAAAAGAGGCUGUGUCCAGGGACUGGAAUGUAGGCUCUGACUCUAGGGACACACUCAGGCAAGGAGAAGGUAGAGAUUACCUCGGCUUCAGUCACUACACCCUUCUUGAAGAGCCGAUCCAGCAGCUCCUCAGACGAGCACCUGGGUUUCGUUAAGGAAAAGCUGCACAUGACUCCCCGGGGCCUGUGCUCCCAGAAAGGUACCCAGACCUCCUGUGAGCCAGAUCUAGAGGUGCUGGUAUUCUGAUGAAGGAGAGUGGAAUGAUGACCCUUGGGUCCCAGAUGGGUCACAUCCCUGAGAAAGGGACCUUCAGAAAGACCCUCUGGUGAGUGGGGCUGUGAGCAGCAGCCUAAUGGAACUUGGACACUCUUGCAUCUCUGCACAGAGCCCACUCCACGCAGCCCUUCACCGGGAUCCUAGGACAGUUUCAGGAGUGAAAGGGCAGCCAGAAUGUGAAAUAAGUAAGAGCCCCAAACACGCCCCCAUGGGUGUGACGGAGGCCAAGAGCAGUUGGAAUGGGAGCCCCCUCUCCAAUACCUAAGAGGUCACCUCUGAGAGGGGUCCCAGGCUGUGACCCACAUCUGUGACCCACAUCUGUGACCC
ensembl:antisense